rnacentral:rRNA from 1 species
UAAACUGCGAAUGGCUCGGUAAAUCAGUAAUAGUUUAUUUGAUAGUGCAACCUACUCGGAUAACCGUAGUAACACUAGAGCUAAUACGUGCGUAAAUCCCGACUUUUUGAAGGGACGUAUUUAUCAGAUUUAUGGCUAACCGGGCUUUGCUCGUUUUGCGGUGAAUCAUGGUAACUUGACGGAUUGCAUGGCCUCCGUGCCGGCGACGUGUCAUUCAAGUUUCUGCCCCAUCAGGUUUCGACUGUAGUGUAUUGGACUACAGUGCCUAUAACGGGUAGCGGAGGAUUAGGGUUCGAUUCCGGAGAGGGAGCCUGAGAAACGGCUACCACAUCCAAGGAAGGCAGCAGGCGCGCAAAUUACCCAAUCCCAAUUCAGGGAGGUAGUGACAAGAAAUAACAAUGCUGGGGCAAUUCGCUUCUGCAAUUGGAAUGAGAACAACUUAAACCACUUAACGAGUACCAAUUGGAGGGCAAGUCUGGUGCCAGCAGCCGCGGUAAUUCCAGCUCCAAUAGCGUAUAUGUAAGUUGUUGCGAUUAGAAAGCCCGUAGCUGAACCUCGGAUUUCCCUGGCGGUCCG